rnacentral:tRNA from 1 species
AGAAAAGUGGCAGAGUGGUCUAAUGCGUUAAUUUGCUAAAUUAAUAAGUACUAAUACUUCGAAGGUUCAAAUCCUUUCUUUUCUA